rnacentral:rRNA from 1 species
UACGGAGGUGGCAAGCGUUACUCGGAAUUAUUGGGUGUAAAGGGCAAGUAGGCGGCCUGUUAAGUGGGUGGUGAAAUACUCCGGCUCAAUCGGAGAACAGCCUUCCAAACUAUCAGGCUUGAGUAUAUUAGGGGGAAAUGGAAUUCUAGGUGUAAGGGUGAAAUCUGUAGAUAUCUAGAAGAACACCAGCGGCGAAGGCGAUUUCCUGGAAUAUUACUGACGCUAAAUUGCGAAAGCUAGGGGAGCAAACAGA